AGCAGUAGCCGCGGUAAUACGAAGGGGGCUAGCGUUGUUCGGAAUUACUGGGCGUAAAGCGUGCGUAGGCGGUGAGUUAAGUCUGCUGUGAAAUCCCCGGGCUCAACCUGGGAAUGGCAGUGGAUACUGGCUCGCUAGAGUGUGUCAGAGGAUGGUGGAAUUCCCGGUGUAGCGGUGAAAUGCGUAGAGAUCGGGAGGAACAUCAGUGGCGAAGGCGGCCAUCUGGGACAACACUGACGCUGAGGCACGAAGGCGUGGGGAGCAAACAGGAUUAGAUACCCCAGUAGUCCCUGUCUCUUAUAC
rnacentral:rRNA from 1 species